rnacentral:rRNA from 1 species
CCCUUAGAUGUUCUGGGCCGCACGCGCGCUAUACUGAUGCAUUCAACGAGCCUAUCCUUGACCGACAGGUCCGGGUAAUCUUUGAAUCUGCAUCGUGACGGGGAUAGAUUAUUGCAAUUAUUAAUCUUCAACGAGGAAUGCCUAGUAGGCGCAAGUCAUCAGCUUGCGUCGAUUACGUCCCUGCCCUUUGUACACACCGCCCGUCGCUCCUACCGAUUGGGUGUGCUGGUGAAAUGUUCGGAUCGGCCGUUUGUCGCGGUUUCCGCGGCUCGUGGCUGAGAAGUUCAUUAAACCCUCCCACCUAGAGGAAGGAGAAGUCGUAACA